CUAACCCCCAAAGUGCUGGAAUUACAGGCGUGAAACACCACACCCGGCAGGUCCUUUUCUUUUCUUUUUUUAAAAAUAAAGAAUACCCAUUGCCCUCCUCAGGUGGCUGUAUCAGUGCCUGACUCUGAGGACAGUGGUUCCCCAUGGGGUUUGCAUCGUUGUUCUCUAGUUCACUCUCCCUGGGGCAUGUGCAGAGUUUCAACUUCUUGUUGGCUUCUCUCUUCCACUCAGGAUUUAAAACUUUCAAACUUGAUUGUUUUUCCUCCUGUCUCUUUAAUCCUAAUACCAAGUUUUCUUGGCAUCCAUUAUCAACUGUGGAUUCUGUUGCACCUGAGUUGUUGCUCACAGCAGGUAAUAAGAGAAGGCGACCUCCUGGAAUUUCUGAGCCGGACUAUGUACUCAGGGUUACCUUGCUGAGCCCCACAUUUUCCAGCACUGCUCUUAAUAAUUAAUGGCCCUCAGUCCUGCACACACCAUCAGACCCCUGAGCAGAGCCCUGCACUGUCAGGUUUCUGCACCAACACAAAGGAUCCCUCCUCUCUCCUAUAGAGGGAGCUCCAGGGAUGGUGGGUGUUGCCCCAGACACCAGCAAUUCUGCCAGACCUUGCCUGUGGGGCCAUGGGAGCUCAAAAUGCCACUCCUUUCCUCCACAGGACCAGAUGCCUGAACUAGGAGAGGCCUCAUUCCUGCUGUGAUCCUGCCAUGGAUACCUGGCUCGUAUGCUGGGCAAUUUUUAGUCUCUUGAAAGCAGGACACACAGAACCUGAAGUCACCCAGACUCCCAGCCAUCAGGUCACACAGAUGGGACAGGAAGUGAUCUUGCGGUGUGUCCCCAUCCCUAAUCACUUAAACUUCUAUUGGUACAGACAAAUCUUGGGGCAGAAAGUCGAGUUUCUGGUUUACUUCUAUAAUGAUAAGAUCUUAGAGAAGUCUGAAAUAUUUGAUGAUCGAUUCUCAGUUGAAAGGCCUGAUGGAUCAAAUUUCACUCUGAAGAUCAAGUCCACAAAGCUGGAGGACUCAGCUACGUACUUCUGUGCCAGCAGUGAAGCCACAGCCUUGCAAAGACACCUCCAGCCUGUUCAAAAACCCUCAUAGAUCUGCCUCCCUCCCAGCCACCAUCACCCACUUCCUGUCUAAGAAAACGAAGUCUCUGGUUGGGUUUGUUCUUGCUGCCGUCACGAAAUAAUCAGAUAUCCGAAAUUGAAUUAACAAAGAUAUGUUGGACAGGAAUGGCCAGAUGCUGUAGGAUUUGAAGAAUGUUUACAGAUACUACAGAGUGUGAUGGUGGGCUCUGAAUAUGGGAGAAUUGUACACGACCAAGUAACUUGUAUCUUCUCCUUAAUCCCAUUUUGCCGUCUUUAUUAGAAUUUUUUUGUUUUAGUUGCUUAGGAAAACAUAUUUUAACUCCUAGGAUAGCGAGAUGAUUAUGGAGUGGGAGUUCAGGUAUUCCCAUGAGAAUACAGAGGAUUGCCACAGAAAUCUUCAGAAGGAGAAGGGGCUUGG